rnacentral:misc_RNA from 1 species
CCGAGUGAGGGCCUCCGGCCCGACCUCCAACCCUUUGUUAUCAAAACCACUGUUGCCUCGGGGGCGACCCGUGCCUCACGGCUUCGGGGCCCCCGGCGGACAAUUCUAAAACUCUGCAUCUUUGCGUCGGGUUAAAAAGUUUAAUUGAUUA